GACGAACGCUGGCGGCGUGCUUAACACAUGCAAGUCGAACGGUGAGGCGAGAGCUUGCUCUCGUGGAUCAGUGGCGAACGGGUGAGUAACACGUGAGCAAUCUGCCCCGGACUCUGGGAUAAGCGCUGGAAACGGCGUCUAAUACCGGAUAUGUCGAGUGACCGCAUGGUCUGCUCGUGGAAAGUUUUUCGGUUCGGGAUGAGCUCGCGGCCUAUCAGCUUGUUGGUGAGGUAAUGGCUCACCAAGGCGACGACGGGUAGCCGGCCUGAGAGGGUGACCGGCCACACUGGGACUGAGACACGGCCCAGACUCCUACGGGAGGCAGCAGUGGGGAAUAUUGCACAAUGGGCGCAAGCCUGAUGCAGCAACGCCGCGUGAGGGAUGACGGCCUUCGGGUUGUAAACCUCUUUUAGCAGGGAAGAAGCGAAAGUGACGGUACCUGCAGAAAAAGCACCGGCUAACUACGUGCCAGCCGCCGCUGUAA
rnacentral:rRNA from 1 species